rnacentral:tRNA from 1 species
GGGCUAGUGGCUGAGUGGUAAGGCAGCCCUCUUGCAAAGGGACGUACCGAGGUCAUGUGUUGAAGCGCACACCUCGGUCACGGGUUCAAAUCCCGUCUGGCCCUCCA